GUCAAGUCAAACAUCUGGUAAACUUGUCUAAGGUCAUAUUUGAACUCAGGACAAUCAAUCUUCCUGACUCUGGCACUCUAUUCACUUUGCUAUCUAUCUGCCCAAAUGUGAAUGGGCCAGGUACUUAUUUGCUUAACUCAAUUUUGCAUACAUUUGUAAAAAACUCACAAAGUUUGGAGUCAGGAGACCUAGAUUAAAAUGCUAGCUUGACCAUUCACUGAAUCACCUGUGUGACCUUAGAGAAGUCUUUGCAUUUCUCUGGGCUUCAGUCUCUCCCUUUCCAAAUGACAAGGUUCAUCUUUUUUUCUUGGUUGGUUAACUUUUAACUUCAUUUCUAGCUCUCAGUUAGUGAUUCUCUACUCUAUGCUAGACACUGAGCAAAGAUACAGAAAUGAAAACAGAAACAAAAUACUCCUUGAUUUUUGGAAACAAGUUCUACCUGGGAAGAAAUAACAUUUACACAUAAUUCAAGAGCAAUGGACAAGUUUCAUGGAAAGGCGGAUUGUAUAUAAGUAAAAGUUUCCCAACAAUUAGAACUUCACAAAAUCGAACAGGCUUCAUCAAUAGGUUUGGCUCAAGAACGGCUGAAGGAAAAAGUCUGGUUCAUUUUAUCAGCAGUGUCAUGGAAUAAACCAACCAUGAAAUGAAAUGAGUCUGUGUGUCAUCUCCUGUAUGAAUGAUGUUGGGAGAAGCAAGUGCCAUCCAUUAAGCCUUCCCAGUGAUUUCUUCUUGAACUCUUACAAAGUUGAUAAUUCAAAAUACAAUAGGAACUCCAUCUGACACUGCUUUCUGCCUCUGGCCCCUCUGCUCAGCAGCCCAUGUCCUGGUUCCUGGCUCCGGCUUGUCACAUCAUGCUUCUAUCCUCUUUGAAAAUGGAAAUGCUCCUGGGGGAAGUAACACAUUUAUUGGAGGAAUAAUAAAGUGGAGGAAUUCCAUGGAGACUGGAACAACCUCCAGGAAGUGAUGCAGAGCGAAAGGAGCAGAAACAGGAGAAUAUUGUACACAGAGACUGAUACACUGUGGUACUAUCGAAUGUAAUGGACUUCUCCAUUAGUGGCAGUGCAGUGAUCCUGAACAACUUGGAGGAAUCUACAAGAAAAACCACUAUCCACGUUCAGAGGCAAAACUGUGGGAUUAGAAACACAGAAGAAAACAACUGCUUGAUUACAUGAGUCAAGGGUAUAUGGUUGAGGGUGUAGACUCUAAAUGAACAUCCUAGUACAAAUACCAACAACAUGGAAAUGGGUUCUGAUCAAGGACACAUGUAAUAUACCCAGUGGAAUUGUGUGUCGGCUAUGGGAGGGGUGGGAGGAAUAGAAUAUGAUUUUUGUAACCAAGGAAUAAUGUUUUGAAUUGACCAAAUGAAAUAAAAAAAUUUUUUAAAAUAAAAUAAGUUCCUUGAGAUUGUCUUCUUUCUAUUUCAAUUUGUAUUUAGCACAAUGCUCAGCACAUAGUUGGCAAGUUAAUAACUUCUAUUUGACUGGUCUUACCACAAACUCUGGGAUGCUGGAAGAAAUGAUCUUUGAAGGGUUUUUCAAAAAAUGCAAGACUGAGGAGAAGGAAAAUAGCUGUUUAGUAGUACCAUAAAAUGUUUUAUGUUUUGUUGUUUAAAGUAUCAAGAGACUAGAGUAAGAAUUGUGGGUUACUGUUUCAUGUUUUAAGUCUUUGUAAUUGUACACUUAUGAAUUUACUGUUUUAUGCAUUUCUUCUGUGUGGAAGAAUUAAAUUGCUAUUCUACUAUCUGACCUAGGAUGAAUGAUAUUUACCUUUUUUUUGCCUUUUGAGGAGAUCUUGAGACUUGGGGCAAAGCAGUAAGUUACUUUCUCUCAGAUUAUGGAGUGAGGGCAUAAAGAACAGAGUAUAAGAAAAAUCCUUAUUUCCUCUUUUGAGAGGUCAUUCUGGACUGAAACUAGUCCUCUAAUAAACCCAGAGCCUGAGGCCUCUUAGUGGUAAAGGACAACCUUAUCCAUCUUGGGCUAGUUCUGCUCUGUGGUUAAAAAAGAAAAAAAAUAUGAAAAACCUCAAAUACACUCCACAGUCUGAGUUGGGGCUGGAAGUAUGGCUUUCAUUAAUAACUGAUUUUAAACUUAUGGUAACAGUUCCUAUUUAUUCUUAUAAUCUUGAACUUUGGGCAUAUGUCCUAC